rnacentral:misc_RNA from 1 species
GAUAAGAACGCAGCGAAAUGCGAUAAGUAAUGUGAAUUGCAGAAUUCAGUGAAUCAUCGAAUCUUUGAACGCACAUUGCGCCCCUUGGUAUUCCGAGGGGCAUGCCUGUUCGAGCGUCAUUAUAACCCCUCAAGCUCAGCUUGGUGUUGGGGCCUGCCGCACGGGCAGCCCUUAAAAUCAGUGGCGGUGCCAUCUGGCUCUAAGCGUAGUAAUUCUUCUCGCUAUAGAGUUCCGGUGGAUGCUUGCCAUUAACCCCCAAUUUUCUAUGGUUGACCUCGGAUCAGGUAGGGAUACCCGCUGAACUUAAGCAUAUCAAUAAGCGGAGGA